AUUGUGGCAGCAAUGCACACUAAAAUUGUGAGUGGUGCAGAGAUUUGCAUUGCCCCUGUGCAAGGACGGCACGCAAAUAUUCAAAGUGUUCCAUAUCAUG
rnacentral:snRNA from 1 species